GCGAGAAAACUUUGCAAUGUGCGAAAGCACGACAAGGUUAAUCCGAGUGGUUUCUGCUAAAGAAACCUUUUGUCAGUCCUAGAAACACUAACGAAUAAGGGGUGGGCAAGUUCUGGUGUCAGCCGCCGCGGUAAAACCAGCACCUCAAGUGGUCAGGAUGAUUAUUGGGCCUAAAGCAUCCGUAGCUCGUUUUGUAAGUUUUCGGUUAAAUCCAUGCGCUUAACGUAUGGGCUGCCGGGAAUACUGCAUAACUAGGAAGUGGGAGAGGUAGACGGUACUCGGUAGGAAGGGGUAAAAUCCUUUGAUCUAUUGAUGACCACCUGUGGCGAAGGCGGUCUACCAGAACACGUUCGACGGUGAGGGAUGAAAGCUGGGGGAGCAAACCGGAUUAGAUACCCCAGUAGUCCCUGAGCGGGCUGGCAAGGCGCAU
rnacentral:rRNA from 1 species